UACAGAGGUCCCGAGCGUUGUUCGGAUUCACUGGGCGUAAAGGGUGCGUAGGUGGUUGUGCAAGUCUGAUGUGAAAUCUCCGGGCUUAACCCGGAAAUGGCAUUGGAAACUGCAUGGCUAGAGGGUUGGAGGGGGGACUGGAAUACUUGGUGGUAGCAGUGAAAUGCGUAGAUAUCAAGUGGAACACCAGUGGCGAAGGCGAGUCCCUGGACAACACCUGACACUGAGGCACGAAAGCUAGGGGAGCAAACAGG
rnacentral:rRNA from 1 species